CCUACGGGUGGCUGCAGUGAGGAAUAUUGGUCAAUGGGCGCGAGCCUGAACCAGCCAAGCAGCGUGAAGGAUGACGGCUCUAUGGGUUGUAAACUUCUUUUAUAAAGGGAUAAAGUGAGGCACGCGUGCCUUUUUGUAUGUAUCAUAUGAAUAAGGAUCGGCUAACUCCGUGCCAGCAGCCGCGGUAAUACGGAGGAUCCGAGCGUUAUCCGGAUUUAUUGGGUUUAAAGGGUGCGUAGGCGGAUUGUUAAGUUAGUGGUGAAAGCUUGAGGCUCAACCGUGAAAUUGCAGUUGAAACUGGCAGUCUUGAGUGUAGUUGAGGUAGGCGGAAUUCGUGGUGUAGCGGUGAAAUGCUUAGAGAUCACAAAGAACUCCGAUUGCGAAGGCAGCUUACUAAACUGCAACUGACACUGAUGCACGAAAGUGUGGGUAUCAAACAGGAUUAGAUACCCCUGUAGUC
rnacentral:rRNA from 1 species